CUGAGUGAGGGCCCUUGGGCUUGACCUCCAACCCUAUGUUUCUGCCUCGUUGCCUCGGGGGCGACCCGGCCCCGCGUCGGGGCCCCCGGAGGACCCAUCAAAUUCGCGUUGUGAUGCGUCUGAGUGAACGUCUUAAAUGAAGCA
rnacentral:misc_RNA from 1 species